GUCUCUGUGGCGCAAUCGGUCAGCGCGUUCGGUCGUGUUAACCGGAAGGCUGGUGGUUCGAGCCCACCCAGGGACG